AGCAAAACAAAUUUCUAAUCAAAAAUGUUCUGUUUGAGCUAUAAGCUUUGAGGAUCUGGCUGAGGUGAUGGAGCCCUUUGUCCCAAAGUAAUUCUCCAAUGAUUAUUCACAGAAGCCAUGCAUCCGUUAUACACUGUUCGUGUCAUCGAAGAUAAAUAUUUUUAACAACUACGUAAAUAUUAGUUGUUCACGUAAUAGAGGGGACAUCUGUUUAAGCAGGAAUUAAUUUUUUUGUUGUCAGCCAGGAACCGGGAAUUUGUCGUAAUCUCUAAAAUAUUUAUAAAUCAUACUAGGAUUUAAACGUGCUGAGCAGUGAAAGUGAGCUUCAUUCGGUCCCCAGUGCACAAGCUGUUGGUGUCUCUGAUUGCAGUCGAUAUCACAAGGUAUAGCUUAUUAGAAAAACGGAAUACGAAGAUCAGAAUGCAUUUGGCAUUAAUUCUCCAAUUCACUACUGCUUUGGCCCUGGGAAAUGCAUUCGUUUCGCAAGAGCAGAGAGAAUUCGGUUUAGACGACAGCUUUGGAGAUUCUUUCAUAGACCCAGGCCUUGGCAAAUCAAGUCGGCAAGCGUUCUGUAGCAGUCCAUGCAAAUCUUCAAGUGAUUGCUGCAAUGGAUAUAUGUGCAAACGAUUUCACCCAGCUACCAGAUACGGUUACUGUACAAAGAAAUGCUCGCCAGUUGGCCCUCAAGGAGAUUGUCGGCGAUGCCAAGAGUGUGUCAGCGGAUACAUAUGCACAAUAUUGCUGAACCAGCAUUACGUAUGUUUAAAAAGGAACAAAUAAAGAGCGAGCGAUAAACAUUGGCUGAGUUGUAAUUUAUCAAAGCUGCGACAUUUAUUGUAUAUUACUUAUCGUCACAUAUUAACAUCAAUACUAACUAGAUACUAACAUAUUAA